rnacentral:rRNA from 1 species
AGCAGUAGCCGCGGUAAUACGAAGGGUGCAAGCGUUACUCGGAAUUACUGGGCGUAAAGCGUGCGUAGGUGGUGGUUUAAGUCCGUUGUGAAAGCCCUGGGCUCAACCUGGGAAUUGCAGUGGAUACUGGAUCACUAGAGUGUGGUAGAGGAUAGUGGAAUUUCCGGUGUAGCAGUGAAAUGCGUAGAGAUCGGAAGGAACAUCUGUGGCGAAGGCGACUAUCUGGGCCAACACUGACACUGAGGCACGGAAGCGUGGGGAGCAAACAGGAUUAGAUACCCCAGUAGUCCCUGUCUCUUAUAC